CUUUCCGGAUGCACUGUAGAUUGCCAAUAGUUGUAGAGUUGGUUAGAUGGAUGGAUGGAUAGAUAGAUAGAUAGCCAAUAGUUGUAGAGUUGAAUAGAUAGAUAGAUAGAUAGAUAGAUGUAGGCAUAUAGAUAGAGUGCCAAUAGUUGUAGAAUUAGAUAGAUAUACAGAUAGAUAGAUAGAUAGAUAGAUAGAGUGCCAAUAGUUGUAGAGUUGAAUAGAAAGAUAGAUUGCCAAUAGUUGUAGCAUUACAUAGAUAAAUAGAUAGAUAGACAUACAGAUAGAUAGAUAGAUAGAUAGAUGUAGGCAUAUAGAUAGAGUGCCAAUAGUUGUAGAGUUAGAUAGAUAGAUAGAUAGAUAUACAGAUAGAUAGAGUGCCAAUAGUUGUAGAGUUAGAUAGAUAGAUAUACAGAUAGAGUGCCAAUAGUUGUAGAGUUGAAUAGAAAGAUUGAUUGCCAAUAGUUAUAGCAUUAAAUAGAUAAAUACAUAUACAGACAGAUAGAUAGCUAGAUAGAUAGAUGUAGGCAUAUAGAUAGAUACCCAAUAGUUGUAAAGUUGAAUAGAUAGAUAGAUGUAGACAUAUAGAUAGUGUCAAUAAUUGUAGAUUUGCAAAGAUAGAUAAAUAGACAGAUAGCUUGCCAAUAGUUGUAGUGUUAGAUAGAUAGAUAGAUAGAUAGAUAGAGAUAGAUAGGUGAUAAUUGAAGCAUUAGAUAGAUAGACAGAUAGAUGUAGACAUAUAGAUAGAGUGCCAAUAGUUGUAGAAUUGGAUAGAUAGAUAGAUAGAUAGAUAGAUAGAUAGAUAGAUAGAUAGAUAGACAGAUAGAUAGGUGAUAAUUGUAGCAUUAGAUAGAUAGAUAGAUAGAUAGAUAGAUAGAUAGAUAGAUAGAUAGAUAGAUAGAUAGAUAGAAAGACAGAUAGAUACAGUGCUAAUAGUUGUAGAGUUGGAUAGAUAGAUUGCCAAUAGUUGUAGCAUUACAUAGAUAAAUAGAUAGAUAUACAGAUAGAUAGAUAGAUAGAUAGAUAGAUAGAUAGAUAGAUAGAUAGAUUGAUUGAUGGAUAGAUGGAUAAAUAGAUAGAUAGCCAAUAGUUGUAGAGUUGAACAGAUAGACAGAUAGAUAGAUAGAUAGGCAAUAGUUGUAGAGUUAGAUACAUACAUAGAUAGACAGACUGAUAGAUAGAUAGAUAGAUAGAUAGAUAGAGUGCUAAUCGUUGUAGAGUCUAACAUCCACCAGCUCCGUGAUGUCGUCAUGGAGGAGUGGAAGAGGACUCCAGUGGAAACCUGUGAAGCUCUGGUGAACUCCAUGCUCAAGAGGGUUAAGGCAGUGCUGGAAAAUAAUGGUGGCCACACAAAAUACUGACACUUUGGGCCCAAUUUGGACAUUUUCACUUAAAGGUGUACUCACUUUUGUUGCCAGCGGUUUAGCCAUUAAUGGCUGUGUGUUGAGUUAUU
ensembl:lncRNA